GUGAAUCAUCGAAUUUUUGAACGCAAAUUGCACUCUCUGCGGAGAGGAGGCCUGUUUGAGGGUCAGCCUAAAAAAAAUCGACAUGGUUGCUGUGGUAUGGUGACUUGCGGCGGAGAGGGGGUAUCUUAAAGCUCGGCUGAAGCGACUGAAAAAUUUGUGUUACGAUUCUAAGAAGGUUUCGAAGAUUUGUCUGGUACGGUUAAGGUAUCGAAUGUCUUAUUAGACGUGGCCGGCAUAUGGGAGGGUGGCCAGAAGUUUUUUCGCUAACUGACCU
rnacentral:misc_RNA from 1 species